GCUGCUGUGGCUCAGUCGGUAGAGCACAUCCUUGGUAAGGAUGAGGUCGGCAGUUCAAGUCUGCUCAGCAGCUCCA
rnacentral:tRNA from 2 species